rnacentral:rRNA from 1 species
AUACGGAGGAUGCGAGCGUUAUCCGGAUUUAUUGGGUUUAAAGGGUGCGUAGGCGGUCGGGUAAGCGUAGGGUGAAAGUCCUCUGCUCAACAGAGGAAGUGCCUUCCGAACUGUCCGACUGGAAUGCUCCUGCCGUGGGAGGAAUGUGUGGUGUGGCGGUUGAAGGCAUAGAGAUCACACAGAACACCGAUUGCGAAGGCAUCUCACGAAGGGGCUAUUGACGCUGAGGCACGAAAGCGUGGGGAUCAAACAGGAUUAGAUACCCUGGUAGUCCACGCAGUAAACGAUGAUGACUAACCGUCGGUCAAGACUGAUCGGUGGCCAAGCGAAAGCGAUAAGUCAUCCACCUGGGGAGUACGACCGCAAGGUUGAAACUCAAAGGAAUUGACGGGG